UACGAAGGGGGCUAGCGUUGUUCGGAUUUACUGGGCGUAAAGAGCGCGCAGGCGGUCGAUUUAGUCGCGUGUGAAAGCCCCCGGCUCAACUGGGGAGGGUCACGCGAUACUGAUCGACUCGAAGGCAGGAGAGGGUAGUGGAAUUCCCGGUGUAGUGGUGAAAUGCGUAGAUAUCGGGAGGAACACCAGUGGCGAAGGCGACUACCUGGCCUGUUCUUGACGCUGACGGCGCGAAAGCUAGGGGAGCAAACGGGG
rnacentral:rRNA from 1 species